AGUACUUCUGUGUAUGUUUAUCUUAUUGAUUGUUAAAUAAAAUACUGUUUGGCCAAUGAGACAGCAAGUAGACAGGACUAGGAGUCAAAGAGGAUUCUGGGAAAUGUAGUAGAGAAGUGAUGAUCCAGGCAGGAAGUGACAUAGCAAGGAGACUCAUAUUUAAGGGAAGAUGAAACAGGAAGGGCCUCUUUUCCCCUCCGCUCCUGCUCCAGUAGCACGAUGUGAGCCACCAACAAGGAGGGACGCCAAUAAGGUGUCCGAUAAGAUAAGUAUUAUAAAAUAUAUAGAUUUAUGAUAGUUAAGACUGAGCUAACAGAUGAGGAAUCCUAGUCAUUGGCCAAGCAGCUUUAAACCUAAUACAAGUUUCUGUGUAUUUAUUUGGGCCUAACUCAGGCGGGCAGCUUGUGUAAUGCGUACACAUGGCGGUGGGGCUCGGUGGCAUUUGGCACAAAGAUUUAUCGUAAUAUAACAAAGACACAAGCAGACCAAGAACCACCCUUUUCCUCCAAAACCUCAGAUAAGUGUUUUAAAAUCUACCAAUCAGGUAAGGGCGGGGGUGGGAGGGAGGUCUUCAGAGACUGCAGAUAACAUCAAGACCUAGAUACAACACCUCAGUCAAUCGUGGCCUCUAAGCCAAAAUAAGAGUAUUAAUCUUAGCUUCACGCUGCAUUUUGAAUACAAAAAGAAAGCAGCUUAAAGUUUCUAUGUGACAUACCUAAACAGAAAAAAAGCAGACAGGCAGAUGAACGUGAGAAAGAUAACAGAAUUCUCAUCUUACUGGGAAUACAGAGGGCACCGGUGGGGGGGGAGGGCUGCUGUACUUGUUCUCCACAGUGUUUCUAUUUGGUGGACUAUUAAUUCCAUCCUACCCUGAAGGUUUCCACAGCCUGAUCUCUGACUUCUCUCCCAAAUCAAGCUACUCCUGACACAAUUCCCAGAAUGCAUCUUGCCAGCUUUUGCUGUCUGCUGUGGGCCUGGAAGACAUAAUGUGCAGGUCUCUUGUUCCAGCUUUCCCUAGAGACUGUGUUUUAUCCAAGUCCUACCCCUGCACUGGCUCAUGUUUGAAGUUCAAACUCUACUGGAAAGACCAUUCAUUUAGCUCUGCCACGUACUGUGCGGAAGCCUGUGUCACUGUUAAUCGGGUUCUCCCACUAAAUAGUGAUUGUGACCACCAGAGAAGAAAAGAUAUAAAGGGUUACUAAAGCUUCUACAAAGAUGAACAUGCUGGAAUAACUACAGUUCCUCUCGCUGCCCAUAAAAACAACAGUGAAGCUGAAACCAUCAAGUUCAAUUCAGUGGGCAGAAUCCUAAAAAUGGAUCAGACUUGAGUUUCCUAAGGAAAGAAAUACAAGGUGAGAAAGAGAAUAAUUUAAAACAAAUCAGAUUUGAACUGUUGUCAAAGUUGUCUUAAUUGAUUGCCAACUCUCCAUGGUGGUCAGAUUUG
rnacentral:lncRNA from 1 species